UUAGAGUUUGAUCCUGGCUCAGGACGAACGCUGGCGGCGCGCCUAACACAUGCAAGUCGAACGGAGUUUGAGAGAGCUUGCUUUUUCAAACUUAGUGGCGAACGGGUGAGUAACGCGUGAGUAACCUGCCCUGGAGUGGGGGACAACAGUUGGAAACGACUGCUAAUACCGCAUAAGCCCACGGUGCCGCAUGGCACAGCGGGAAAAGGAUUUAUUCGCUUCAGGAUGGACUCGCGUCCAAUUAGCUAGUUGGUGAGGUAACGGCCCACCAAGGCGACGAUUGGUAGCCGGACUGAGAGGUUGAACGGCCACAUUGGGACUGAGACACGGCCCAGACUCCUACGGGAGGCAGCAGUGGGGGAUAUUGCACAAUGGGGGAAACCCUGAUGCAGCGACGCCGCGUGGAGGAAGAAGGUUUUCGGAUUGUAAACUCCUGUCGUUAGGGACGAUAAUGACGGUACCUAACAAGAAAGCACCGGCUAACUACGUGCCAGCAGCCGCGGUAAAACGUAGGGUGCAAGCGUUGUCCGGAAUUACUGGGUGUAAAGGGAGCGCAGGCGGACCGGCAAGUUGGAAGUGAAAACUAUGGGCUCAACCCAUAAAUUGCUUUCAAAACUGCUGGCCUUGAGUAGUGCAGAGGUAGGUGGAAUUCCUCGGUGUAGCGGUGGAAUGCGUAGAUAUCGGGAGGAACACCAGUGGCGAAGGCGACCUACUGGGCACCAACUGACGCUGAGGCUCGAAAGCAUGGGUAGCAAACAGGAUUAGAUACCCUGGUAGUCCAUGCCGUAAACGAUGAUUACUAGGUGUUGGGGGAUUGACCCCCUCAGUGCCGCAGUUAACACAAUAAGUAAUCCACCUGGGGAGUACGACCGCAAGGUUGAAACUCAAAGGAAUUGACGGGGGCCCGCACAAGCAGUGGAGUAUGUGGUUUAAUUCGAAGCAACGCGAAGAACCUUACCAGGUCUUGACAUCCGAUGCAUAGCACAGAGAUGUGUGAAAUCCUUCGGGACAUCGAGACAGGUGGUGCAUGGUUGUCGUCAGCUCGUGUCGUGAGAUGUUGGGUUAAGUCCCGCAACGAGCGCAACCCUUAUUGCCAGUUACUACGUUAAGAGGACUCUGGCGAGACUGCCGUUGACAAAACGGAGGAAGGUGGGGAUGACGUCAAAUCAUCAUGCCCUUUAUGACCUGGGCUACACACGUACUACAAUGGCGUUAAACAAAGAGAAGCAAGACCGCGAGGUGGAGCAAAACUCAAAAACAACGUCUCAGUUCAGAUUGCAGGCUGCAACUCGCCUGCAUGGAGUCGGAAUUGCUAGUAAUCGCGGAUCAGCAUGCUGCGGUGAAUACGUUCCCGGGUCUUGCACACACCGCCCGUCA
rnacentral:rRNA from 1 species